rnacentral:rRNA from 1 species
UACGUAGGGUGCGAGCGUUGUCCGGAAUUAUUGGGCGUAAAGAGCUCGUAGGCGGUUUGUCGCGUCGGCCGUGAAAACUUGGGGCUUAACUCCAAGCUUGCGGUCGAUACGGGCAGACUUGAGUUCGGCAGGGGAGACUGGAAUUCCUGGUGUAGCGGUGAAAUGCGCAGAUAUCAGGAGGAACACCGGCGGCGAAGGCGGGUCUCUGGGCCGAUACUGACGCUGAGGAGCGAAAGCGUGGGGAGCGAACAGG